UGUGUUUGCAGGCAAGCGCAAGGGUGGGGAUUUGAGUGGAGGAAACUAACUGGGUAUCCUCCGUUGUCGAGCUAGCAUUGAAGAGGCAGUGGGCGCUGUAGCCACGCUAGCAUGAAACAUCCGCCAUGUUGAGACCUCAGUCCACCUGAUCUUGCCCCAUUUGCACCUUUCACAGAUGCUUUUUAAUCUAUGCCUGUAAGGUGCUUGAUAAAACUUCAAGCAGGCUGACAUGGAAGAGCUAUGAAAUUUACCUUCUCGAGGUGUUUUUUUCCAGCAUUCUUGUGACACGAAUUAAAGAAUAGGAUAUGCUGAUAUUUCCAAUGUGAGAGAGACUGCUCUAUUGAUCUAAUGCGGUAGAUGUGAUGUAUCAACAUAAGGAGGAGCUCCUCUUAAAUGCUCAACGGGAGAAGCGGGUGGUUUUCUUGCUGUAGGUACUGUUUGAUAUCCUAUAUUGUUGUUUCUGGAGAUGAUCAAUUACUAAAAUUUAGAAAAAAGCUGUUGUUUCUAUUACCAUUGGUACCUUCUUGCUUUCGCUCUUUUGAUAACUCCCUUUUCUUACCAUGCAGAACUGAGGCCGCUUUUGUCACUAUGCUAAAUUCCAAUGAAUAUCAUAGAAAAUUCAGAUAAUUAUGCGAUAGUAAGCCUUCAAGUAAUAUAUACAGUACACUUACUAUCAUUAUAAAUUAAGACCGUGAUGUUGUUCAUGUCACUCAGCACCUAUAUCUUCAUGAUAUUAUUGAACUUCAGGUUCAUGCCCUUGAUAAAAAAUACAUCAGUAAAAAACUAGGCCUAUUUAUUAUGUUUUAGGUGUGUAAAUGCUCCCUGUCGUUCUUUGUCCUAGCUACAUUUUUCUUGAUAUUGGUAAAGAAAACUAUUUAUGUGAUGUCAGUCUGUAGAGGUGUGGAUCUGUGUGAGCAGUUAGAUCAGGUAACUAUACUUAUAAAAUUAGUCCAACUCAUUGCCUUUGAAAAGAUUAGCUGGGCCAAGUCCAGACCAUUGCUUUAAAAAAAUUAACGGUUCCAUUCCACUUUCCAUAAUAUAUGCUUCUUUAUUUAUGGUUGGACAGUCAUUUGAACAAUUAGGCCUUCUUGAUUGUAUCCUGCUUCUUUUUUUGUUAUACUGUGUUCAGUUACUUCUGCUAUGUAAGGAGUGGAUAUUGGUGCUAACAAAUAUUCUAAAUGAAUUGGGAUGGAUCUUUUUCCUUGAUUGCUAACAAAUAUACUGUGUUCAGUUACUUCUGCUAUGUAAGGAGUGUAUUUUUCUUUCUCCAUUAUACAUUUCUUAUAGUGAUUCUUUAUUGAUAACAGGAAACAAGAUAGGAUAUGCAAUAAAACUUGAUUAAAAUAUUAAACAUUGUUGUGCAUGAUGAUUAUGGUUGUCUGACUAUUUAGAUACGGUAUAUUCUACAAUGAUGAUUUUGUCUGUCAUCAAGGUUCGCUUCGAAGUCUCCUUGCUCCCUCCUUGAAGUUCCUUUUCUGACUGCUUUAUUUUAGGAUCCGAAGUGGAGGUUUUCGCACUGAAGUUCAGAUCUCUAUACUGUCUUUGAGCCCUGUUACAUUUUAAGUAUCAGUUUGUGAUUUCAUUUUGUUUAUACUGCUGGAGAUUUUCUUUAAGGUUCCGGUCUAUUAUCUUCUUUCUAUUACUACAUAAUUUUUACCUUAAAUACUUUGCCACUUUUUUAGUUAUAUAUAUGGCCAACUGAUACUCUCUCUGUUCUCCAACCAAUUAGAAGAUUAUAUAAUGAAUUGAAGACUGUCCAUAGUAUUAUCAAGCGUUGUUACUAUCUACUAUAAAUAUGAUGAUCACAGUUUGAUAGUAAGUUGGAUGAUUUAACCGUGCUUUUUAUAAAAUAAACAUAUUGUUAGCAGAUGCAUUGUUGAGUAUUGGCCACCAGGUGGGUGAAUACUACUUAUUCUGUGUUUAGACAAAGCACUACUGAAGUUUCAUUUUGACUCGCUUUCUGAUAAUAUGGUGCAUGCUAUGUACGAGCAACGAGCAUCUAAUUACAGUGGUCACUACAGAUUUGUAAUCCAGCUAUCAUCACAUCAUGACGAGCUGAUUGUAUGCCUUUAAUGCCUCCCUAUAUAUUAAGACAAGAUAUGCCUUGCUAUUUAACUGUUAGUUACAAUUUGGUACUGCAAAGGCAGUGUUGAUGUGAAAAAAAAAACUAUUGACAGCAUGUCCUUACCAAAUUUAUAUGAGACUUGGGACAUGCAGAGCUAAUAUAUUGAUAGAGUCGCAAUUUAUAAGAACUAUUCGAAUAUCUUGAGAUUCGCAAUAGAAUUUGUGAUCAAACAAGCCAACAUAAAAACCAUUCAGGUUAACAAAUUUAUAUUCAUAAGUUCCCUUUUGAUAAUUGCAACUUUGUAAUCUAUGCCAAUUCAUAGCUUAUCGUAUCCUAAAAAAGGUGAGUCGGGUACUGGCCAUCAUUUCUAGGUUUCGUUCAGUGAUAUGUAUCUAAGUAGCUGCCAGGAUGUAUUAGUUUGACCCAUGCACUAGAUGCCAAUAUUAUCACCAUGCCUGCCAAUUCCUAGCUUGGUCUGUUUAAAUCGCCUUAUUCAUGUACUAUAGUAACAUUUAAAUAGUUGACAUCCAUUAAUUUGCAUACCUACAAUUCUGUUCUAAAGAUGACCAGUCUAUGUUGUUCUUUGUAACAAGAACAGAGUAGCACGUAUAGAAUGGAUAGAUGCUACGGGUAUAGGCAACCACUUCCAUUACACGCUGACGUAUUGCUGUGGUUGUGAUCUUUUAGGUUUUAUCUAUGGUCAGCUUCAACUUAUGCUUCAGAGUGAACCGUUGACCAUGACUGGUUAUGAUAAAUGGAUUUGCACUAUUGGCAAGGUGAUUUCAGACCUAGCUCGGUUUAUAAGCAGCAUUUUGCUAAUAUUGAUAACCAUCCUCCCUCUUGCCUGAUUUGGAAAAGUAAAUGCAUGCCGAAGCAUAAUUUUUUUGCCUGCCUUAUUCUUCAUGAUAGAAUUAACACAGAGGACAUGCUAUUGAGGUGGCAUUGGAAUGUGACUAAUAAUCAUGACUAUAUUAUGCUGCUCUGGACAGUUUGAAGAUUGGAGGCAUCUCUUCUUUAAUUGCAUAUUCAGCAUCCGUGCUUGGAACUAUCUACAGAGUCCAUGGCAUCCUGGAUCAACAUAUGAAUCCUUACUUGCAGCUAGAAAGAGUUUCAAAGGGCCUUGCUUCACUGAGAUUGCGAUCCUAGCCUGCUGGAGUAUAUGGAAACAACGCAAUGGUUGGAUCUUCAAGGGUAUUUCAGAGGGUGGCGAGCUUCUUUCGUUCUUGAAGUAAAAGUGAUGUGCUUCCUGUCUUAUCAUCAUGGAUAGAUAGCCUACCAUAGUUUUGUUCCUUUUCUUCUUUUACGUUAUUUUGUAAAUGUGCUUUGUACAGUUUUAUGGGAUUAAUAAAUUUUGAGGCUGUGGGGGGCUCCCCUACAGUAAAGAUUAAAAAAAAAAUACAAGUGCUCCAUUUAAUUGAGUAUCUUUCCAGUAUUUAGAGAGGUUUAUGGUAAUUUCUAUAGGAAACAUCUCCAAUUCAGUUAAUCUUUCUCUCUUUAUCACCAGCUAUCAGUCCCCCUUGUUAUCCCCCCCUGCAAUUUUAUCUGUCAACAACGAUGUUCUUCUUCUCCGACUCAAGGGAUAGUUGCAGCCUAGAUUCCUCUACAAAGCAGGUAAACUUUUCGAAUUUUUCACCUUUUAAAUUUUCCUCUUUCUUGCUUUGGUGGUUGUUCAGAUUUGAAUUUGAAUGGGACUUCAUGCUAUGGGAGGUGUAAGUAUCCAUAGGAUGAAGUCCCAUUUAUUUUGUUCCGGCAGGUUGAAAUUUUGCUUAGUUUUGUAUGAUACUAAUGAGUGACUAGCAUUUUGUUUCCGCUCUGGGUUGCUCUCUACAGAACAAGAACCGAUGUUUGAAAUCUUAAUAGACAUCUGAAACCAAUCUGUUGUGAUUUGAGAUUAAUAGAUAUGAUUGUAAGACUGCCAUAUUAUUUUAAAGGUUUUACAUUUUUAUAUGAAAUGCUACCUGUAUUAUAUAUGUUAGGUCUGAAGUGCUACCUUGCACCCUCAGCUAAUUCAUCUUAAGCCCCAUGAAGUGACCAUCUUUGGGUACUAUGGAUGCGAGAAGAUCUAGGGCCCCAUGGAGCAGGACGGGACUCAUGCAUCGGCGUAAAAUUGCCCUAUAUUUAUAAGCAUGCCAGUCCAUCGUACUACUUGUACUUGGGCUCUAUCUAUGUAAUGGUUCUCAUGUGUUGCCCAUCGAGCUAUUAGAUGAUCAUCCAUCACAGUAUAGUCACUAUGCAGUAUCAACUACUAUGAACAGGUUUUUUCCAUAUAUAUCUGUCCCAGUUAUCUAUCAUGUUUUAUAGGACCUGGUUUUUAUGCACAUCUAUUUAUCUGGUAGAUCAUCAGUGAUCUUCUUUUCAUACA